UUCAUGACAGAGUGGGAGAACUACCGGGACACGCUGCAGACUCAGGUCCUGCAGGCGGCGGGGGGGCAGCUCGGCUCCGUGAAGUUCGGGUCCCCCCUCCCGGAGGAGAACCUGGGAAACUUCCAGGACGACCAGAUCGGACAACUGUACGAACUCAUGCUGGAGUCCACCAAAUCCUCCCGGCAGUUCAACAUCCAGGAGGACGGGAAGUGAAGCAGCUCUGAUGGACCCACACUCCCUCUGAUGGAGAGCUGCUCUACGGCAGAGGAGUGGCUGUUCAGAACCUGUGAUUACAUUAAAGAUCUGGGUCAGAACUCCGUGGUGCUCUGCUUGUUCUUUUCCUGGGGGAAUACAAACGCUCCGUCACAGGUGCACUAAGAGCACUGAGUGUGGCAGCGAGGUGUUCCUGCUGCAGGAUUCAAGUCUUACUCGUUAUCCAGGGAUUCAAAGGAUUCAUCAUCAUAAGCACAGCGUGGAUACGGCUCCUCCAACAAGGCCUCCGUAAUAUAUAGAAGAUAUGAAACCAUGAGACUGAGAACAGAGCAGAGCACAGUGUGCUACAACCACGCUAAUAGCACACCGACAAGGGGGGGUUAGGGGGGUUAGGGGGGUACUCAGAGUCAAAGUCCACUUUAUUGUCAACAUUUCCACAUGUGUUAUACAUACAGAAAACUGAAAUACCGUUUCUUGCAGUGUAAAAAAUAUAUAAACAUGAAAGACAAGGGGUACAAAAAACUAAGUAAUAUAUAUAUAUAUAUAUCACACACAAUUUGGGUCUGAUACUGAGUAAAAGUAGAAGUACUCAGGUCUUGUACUUGAGUAAAGUAGAAGUACUCAGGUCUUGUACUUGAGUAAAGUAGAAGUACCAGAGUGUAGGAAUACUCUGUCACAGUGAAAGUAUUCUAAAUGUUCCUCCAGUGAAAGUAGAAAGUACUCUCCUCUAAAUGUACUUAAAGUAGCGACAGUAAAAGUAGUCAUUGUCUGAUUGGUCCAUUUCAGAAUAAUAUCUCUGAUAUGUUUUAUAAUGAUUGAUCCUUAAAGUGUUCUCAGAGCUGGUAAAGGUGCAGCUAGUUUGAAUGGCUUUGUAUACUGCAGGGUAGCUGCUGGAUUUACUGCAGGUGAACUACAGUCUGAUUUAAGGGAUUAUAUUUACCAUCAGUAAUCCUAAUCUGCCUAGCAACUAAAGGGAUCAAAUACAUGUAGUGGAGUAAAAGUACGCAGUAGGAAAAGGAGCUGAAAAUUGUACAUGUGUAAAGUACUUGAGUAUUUGAGUAAAUGUACUUACCGUAAUUUCCGGACUAUGGAGCGCACCUGAAUAUAAGCAGCACCAACUCAAUUUUAAAAGGAAACAGCUUCGUACAUAAAUAGGCCCCAACUGUCUGUAAGCUGCAGGUGUCCAGGUGUUGUAACAUGACACAUUCACACAGAAAGGGUUUUAAUAUUUUUAACUACCGCUUUUUCCCAAACAGUGUCUGAGCAGAACAGCCUCAGAAGGGCUUCAUCACACACUGCCUGUAACACGGCAGUGAAACAGCAGUAAGACAGCUUCCCAGAAAAGUCAUUCAUCGUUAUCUUAAUUUCCCCUUUGCGCGCUAAAACCAUUAAAGUCGUCUUCUUCAGAGUCUGAGCAGAACAGCCUCAGAAGGGCUUCAUCACACACUUUCUCAGUCUCUCUUUCGUUGUCGCUCUCAAUGUCACUGUCGUCUCUCGGCGCACUUGUGCUGUCCUCUUCAUCACGCAGCAGUCCAGCCUUUGGAAACCCGCUGGUGAUGGUGGAUGUUUUUCACACUGCUCCCCGCUGUUAUAUGCAUAUGCAUUUCUUCGUGUGUUUUCCAUAAUGGGGGUGUGUGCAUGAUGUGCAAAAUGGCUGUUGAAAACAAUCAAACUAUGGUAGCGUCUUCCUCGGCGUAUUAUCUCUUCCACCUGUCUGUCUCGCUUUUGCGCUUCCUGCUAGAGCGCCCCCUGGUGGCCGUCAGCUCGUGCAAAUCUAUAGAUUAGCCGCAUCAUUGUUUAGGCUGCAGGGUUCAAAGCGCGUGAGAAAAGUAGCGGCUUAUAGUCCGGAAGUUACGGUAGUUACUUUACACCACUGCCAAAAUAUAACACACUGAAAUAAAUGUAUGGAAAUGCAAAGUUGGAGAGGAUCUGGAGAAACAGCAGCCAUCCACAAGAUCUUACUUCACUUGAGGUUCGAGCUGAGAAAGUCUUGAGUUUCUGGAUGUUUCUAGAGUCUGCUCACGGCCGUGGCCCCCCCGCUGAGUCCAGACAUUACAAUCGAUUGUAAUGGCGAUCACAAUGCAUGGAGGGUUGGUUCCAGACGCUCCUCUGAACCCCCCACUGACGGCUCGGUUCUGACAGACUGUUUCAUCAUUCCUGGAGAACCCCUCCUCCUGUGGACCAAUCAGAAGCAGGUAUGAUGCUGCCUUACGGCUGUAUCAGUGAGGGUCUUCUCUCUGUUGCAGCCCUUUUGUUUUAAUCUGGUUGACAGUUUUAGACAGUUUAGUCUGCUUUUUCCUGCAGACUCACCAGAGCCUCCUUCAGACACGCAUCCUGUGACAUAGUUCCCGUGUUAGUCUCACGUGUGGGUGAGUUUUAUGUCAUUCGGAUAAAAAAGCUAAAAUGCAUUAGCUUUGCUCUACCGUUAGCAUAUGGCUCGAUGUAGUGAUAUAAAAGCUUUAAUCAGUAGUUAUUAUAUACCGUAUGUCCUGGUAGGGUAUGUAAAUCCCCUCCUAACAGCCACUGAGUCUUAAUGAAACGAUGAAUAUGAGCUGAGGGUUGAUUGAUUGAGGGAUGAUGAGCGAGCUGCUGCUCUCUAAUUGGUUUACACGACCUCCUUCACUCCCAAUGAGCAGGCAGAAGAACCCUGCAAACAGUUCAUCACGCUGGGUAAAGACAAGUGUUUGCCCAGGUAUAUGUCGCUGUGAGGAAGGAUUAUAACAGCCGUCUGGACUGAAGAGCUGCACAGGUUUCAGAGGAUGAGAAGACUGAUAGAUGCUUCAACGUUUAGGGUUAGAUAACAGACUGAAGUGUGUGUUGCAAACAUCCAUAGUCCCCCAGGAUGAUCCUCAGCGUUCUCCGUCUAGUGCCUCCAUGAGGAGAGAAUAUCAGUCUUUCCACCAGAUAUCUGCAACGCUACGGUCACACCAGCUGUUAGGAUGCUAAUGCUAACAUGCAUUUAGCUCAAAUUAGCAGCUUUGUGAGGCUGGAAAGACUACACACUUUAGAUUACAGUAUAUUAGAUUUAGAAUGUGAGGGGAUAAAACUAAUGCACUAAUGACAAUAAUUAUAGGAUUAAUCAAGAGGAAUCCAGGUUUAUAAAACUAGUAUUUCUUUGUAUUUAUCGGGAGAAAUGCAUGACUAACUUUCCAAGCCUGAUCGGAAGCCUCGAGGGUUCAUACUGUGAUUGGUGAUUGUUAGUGAUUUGAGCCUUUGCAGACCAUUUACAUGCACUAACAGCUGCCCUACAGGAGAGGGACCACCACACGAAGCAGAACAGGGCCUCUUAAGGGUUGCUACAAUACUCAGUGUGGUCCUGCAUUCAAUCGUACACCAAGGGAUGGAAAGGAUCCCGAUUGAUUCAGCAGGAGCAGAGAUGGAGUGAUCAAACAGCGUCACACUCCGCUCUGCAUCAAAGAGGGGACAGCUGUCACAGCGGGGGGUCCAACACGAGCAGAGGGUCAGUGCACACGGAGACAAAGCACAUCACCUGUCUGAGUGACAGGCGAGAGAACAACAACCUG